AACGAAUAAAUCUCGUUUUCUUCGUUUUGUGAAAUUUCUUCCUAAAAACCCUAAAAACAAAAUCCAUCUCUUCUCCCCUCCACCAUUUGCGAAAGACAGAGCUUCUUCAUCUCUCUCCCAUCAAUGGUGAUUCGCUGCCCCUCCUAACAGCACCUGAUCCACUCCAACUCCACAUCUACCAUCAGCCACAUAAAAAGUUGAGUCAUGUGAUUGGAACCCAAAUAUUGAUGUGGGAUUUAUAUUUCCAUCCUUUCUUCUCCGACACUGAAUUGACAAUUUUGGCAGUGAAGGGAGCGGCGAUGGUGGCUCUGUACCAUUACCAUAUUGGGGACUAAGGCGGUAGGGAGAGCUUUACUCUGGAGUUUAUUCUUUUUCUGCUUGAUCUAUUAUCCAGCAAACAAAAUUAAAAAAAGAAAAUAUUGUUCUUUUUGGUUUAGAAUUGAUGAAGGAAAAAAAAUUGUAAUUCUGUGAAUAUUUUUAAUUGUUCUGUUAUUCGUUAAUUGAAUUUUUUUUAUUGUUGAGUUUUUAUAAUGAUAAAGUUUGACUUUUUAUUUA